CCUUUGUACACACCGCCCGUCGCUACUACCGAUUGAAUGGCUUAGUGAGGUCUUCGGAUUGGCUUUGGGAAGCGGGCAACCGCAUCCUGUCGCUGAGAAGUUGAUCAAACUUGGUCAUUUAGAGG
rnacentral:rRNA from 1 species